AGAACAACUGAAAUACAAUGUCCUCCUGUAUUAACAGAAAAAAUAGAUCUCCCAACCUAAAUUUUUGGCUAGGCAGCUUUUUUAUUCGAACUGAUCCCUGACUCCUCCCACUCAACACACCUGGACAAGUUCAGAAGCUUCUGGCUGCUGACUUGGACACAUCGAAAUUUGACACAGAACCCUUCUGCAAGUUUGGUCAAGUGCAACACAGUCAAUGCUCGUCGAGAAGCAGCCAUUCGUUCUCUCAUUGUGCACUUGGGACACCAAGGAGUUUGAAGAGAAUCUCCACACCAUGACUAUGAAUACUGCCAUCAUUGGAGACGACCAUUCAGCAUACAGAAUUUCCCCCAUUGCCAUUGAGGGAUCAAAAGUGAUUCAAGAGAAGAACAUACCAAGGUGCUGUGCAUUGCUCAUGGGUGUCAUAUAUGCACUGAAUCUCACUUACAAAAAGCAAAUCAAGUUCAUGUUUGAAGUUUUUCAGAAAUGUUUUCUGAACCUUGACACUAUGACAACUCCUCCGAAGA